CCUGCCGCCCCCUUCAUCCAUCGCCGCAGCCGCCAUUACCCUUCCUUUCCUUCCACCUCUUUCUUACAGCGAUGGAUGGAUGCUGGUUACUGGAUCCGGAACCCCUACUCUCCCCUCGUCAUAUUCAUCUAACUUACAAGUUGAUUAAUGGCAUGAACUUCCUAAUUUGCCCCUGAUUUUGGUCUCUGGUUCUUCGGUUGCAGGUCGUAGUCGCAGACGCAAGGGGUGAAGAGCAUCUGGGCAUCGCUACGAGAGAGAGAGAGGGUGGCUGCAGGAGAGAUGGCAUCCGCCUUUACGCUCCACUUCCUCCUGAAGCCAUAAUAGUUAUGGUGAACUGGAUGGUAAGAUUUUUCGAAGUUAGAGGAAACCUAUCUAAGUCAAACUGACUAUGGAAUGAUUUCUUCCAUAUUGUCACCGUCAUGGAUUAAUUGGUGGACUUCUAUGCUGGAUUUGAGUUGACAGGGAGUGAUCUAACCUGAAGAAGGUACUGGCUUCUUACCGUUUUAUAGCUAGCUCUUCAAUCAUCAUAUUUUCUUUUUUAGUUUUUGUGGGUAUUUGACAUGGCAUUUGUGUUAAAGCCUGGAAAAUGUAUUCAAUGAUUUUUUUUGCAACAAGUUAGUAAAGAUAAUUGCCCUCCAAUGUACAGAAAGGAGAUGAUCAAAACUUGGUGCACUAACAUUAGGGGAAAAUAUGUUUGUAGCUUUAUUUUAGAUGAAACAAUCUCCCUGAAAUUUCCCUAUUUUGACAUAAUCUCAUUAAUACACGCUCGAGGGCUAGAGGGUAGCAAUCGAUGAGAGGCCGAUGCGGACGGUCGGUGCGUGAGAAAGAGGGGAUGGGUCGAUUGGUCAUGGCGACGGUGCACUCACUCAUAGAUGAUGGCGAGGCGACGAAGACGUACAGUGUGCCGAGCUCAUCCCGUGUUCGAUUGGACUGGGUCGUUCAUGGUGGUGCUGGAAGGAAUCUCCUAGCCAAAUUUUAGCACGGAGGCGCCUUCCAGAGCACCUUGCCGCUGAUAGGGAUGUCGUCCGGCAUGAAGACGUGCUGAGGCUUCAACUAAUCAUCGAUGGAUUCGACGAUUUCAAGGGUUCGAAGGAUUAAAUCUGGGAAUAUAAUUCUCGAAACAGAGGUGGUUUAAUUGGUGUUCCGUGAGAUGACAAGAAAGAGCAUUCAAUGGGAGAGGAUUCAUUGAGAGAGAAUCGGAUGCCGGCAGUCCUCUCAAGGAGAAGGGAGGACUUAUUGCAGCAUCACAAGGACACCGGUAAUGGUAUGGUAGUGAGGAGAUCAAUGGCAAGGGAGGCAAGGGAAAACCUGAAGGUCAGGUCAAAGAGGGUUUACAACGAGGUAUAAAGCUUCAUGAGGACAUCUUCUUGGGAUGGGAGAUCAUCAGUUACUGUUAAGUUGUAAAAUUUCUAUAUUUUGGUGAUGGUACUGACUGGGAGUUCUUUCGGAUUUACUUCUAUCUUGCAUAGUAAAACUUACCUUCAGCUUAUGUAGGUGACACAUGGGUACUGCAGUUAAUACAUUACCUAUAAACUGUACUUUUGAGUUAGUAAUUCUACAUUCGGUCCAAUGAUCGAUCAAUUGUUGAGGCUAUAUUGAACCUCUUAAGUAAAUAUCAUG